GGAUUAGUGGCGAACGGGUGAGUAACACGUGGGCAAUCUGCCCUGCACUCUGGGACAAGCCCUGGAAACGGGGUCUAAUACCGGAUACUGACCUUCACGGGCAUCUGUGAAGGUCGAAAGCUCCGGCGGUGCAGGAUGAGCCCGCGGCCUAUCAGCUUGUUGGUGAGGUAAUGGCUCACCAAGGCGACGACGGGUAGCCGGCCUGAGAGGGCGACCGGCCACACUGGGACUGAGACACGGCCCAGACUCCUACGGGAGGCAGCAGUGGGGAAUAUUGCACAAUGGGCGAAAGCCUGAUGCAGCGACGCCGCGUGAGGGAUGACGGCCUUCGGGUUGUAAACCUCUUUCAGCAGGGAAGAAGCGAAAGUGACGGUACCUGCAGAAGAAGCGCCGGCUAACUACGUGCCAGCAGCCGCGGUAAUACGUAGGGCGCAAGCGUUGUCCGGAAUUAUUGGGCGUAAAGAGCUCGUAGGCGGCUUGUCACGUCGGUUGUGAAAGCCCGGGGCUUAACCCCGGGUCUGCAGUCGAUACGGGCAGGCUAGAGUUCGGUAGGGGAGAUCGGAAUUCCUGGUGUAGCGGUGAAAUGCGCAGAUAUCAGGAGGAACACCGGUGGCGAAGGCGGAUCUCUGGGCCGAUACUGACGCUGAGGAGCGAAAGCGUGGGGAGCGAACAGGAUUAGAUACCCUGGUAGUCCACGCCGUAAACGGUGGGCACUAGGUGUGG
rnacentral:rRNA from 1 species